CUUACCAUGCAGUCGAGCGGUAAGGCCCCUUCGGGGGUACACGAGCGGCGAACGGGUGAGUAACAGGUGAGAACCGGCCCCUGACUCUGGGAUAAGCCCGGGAAACCGGGUUUAAUAACGGAUACGACCUCUUACCGCAUGGUGGGGGGUGGAAAGGUUUGUUCCGGUUGGGGAUGGGUUCGGGGGCUAUCUCUUUGGUGGUGGGGUGAUGGCCUACCAAAGGAAUGACGGGUAGCCGGCCUGAAAGGGCGACCGGCCACCCUGGGACUGAAACACGGCCCAAACUCCUGCGGGAGGCAACAGUGGGGAAUAUUUGGCAAUGGGGGGAAGCCUGACCCAACCACCCCCCGUGGGGGAUGACGGCCUUCGGGUUGUAAACCUCUUUUACCACUCACCAAAGCUCCCAGUGUUCUGGGGGUUGAAGGUAGGUGGUGAAUAAGGACCGGCUUACUACCUGCCCGCAGCCACGGU
rnacentral:rRNA from 1 species